rnacentral:rRNA from 1 species
CUUACGGGUGGCAGCAGUGAGGAAUAUUGGUCAAUGGACGAGAGUCUGAACCAGCCAAGUAGCGUGAAGGAUGACUGCCCUAUGGGUUGUAAACUUCUUUUAUAUGGGAAUAAAAUGUUCCACGUGUGGGAUUUUGUAUGUACCAUAUGAAUAAGGAUCGGCUAACUCCGUGCCAGCAGCCGCGGUAAUAUGGAGGAUCCGAGCGUUAUCCGGAUUUAUUGGGUUUAAAGGGAGCGUAGGUGGAUUGUUAAGUCAGUUGUGAAAGUUUGCGGCUCAACCGUAAAAUUGCAGUUGAAACUGGCAUUCUUGAGUACAGUAGAGGUGAGCGGAAUUCGUGGUGUAGCGGUGAAAUGCUUAGAUAUCACGAAGAACUCCGAUUGCGAAGGCAGUUCACUGGACUGCAACUGACACUGAGGCUCGAAAGUGUGGGUAUCAAACAGGAUUAGAUACCCCAGUAGUC